UAGGAAAGGAUUAUGUGAACUUUAUAGUUAAAGACUUCAAUAAUUUGGAUCUACCGUUUGUGGACCUUGUUGACCGCAACACUACACCGCGUAUGCCGUGGCACGAUGUAGGCGUGGUUGUACAACAAGAGGCCGCCCGCGACGUCGCUCAACACUUUAUACAACGUUGGAAUGCGGUCAAAUUAGAGAAAUACAGACAAAACUUUAGUUACCCAUAUUUGUUACCGAAGAUAAAUAGCGAAAUAAAACCGUUGCAAGGUUUGAAGGAAUUGCUCAAUAUUGAUAUUAACAAUGCGUCUUGUCAAGUAAGUUAAUUUUCCUCACUCUUAUAAUUCUAUCCACUUUAAGUAUAGAGAA